rnacentral:rRNA from 1 species
ACGAACGCUGGCGGCGUGCUUAACACAUGCAAGUCGAACGGGAUUUAGUAAACGGAAGCCUCGGUGGAAGAUUACUAAUGAGAGUGGCGAACGGGUGAGUAACGCGUGAGCAACCUGCCUAUGACAGUGGGAUAGCCUCGGGAAACCGGGAUUAAUACCGCAUAAAAUCGUAGAAACACAUGUUUCAACGGUCAAAGAUUUAUCGGUCAUAGAUGGGCUCGCGUCUGAUUAGCUAGUUGGUGAGAUAACAGCCCACCAAGGCGACGAUCAGUAGCCGGUAUGAGAGGAUGCACGGCCACAUUGGAACUGAGACACGGUCCAAACUCCUACGGGAGGCAGCAGUGGGGAAUAUUGCACAAUGAGGGAAACCCUGAUGCAGCGACGCCGCGUGAACGAAGAAGGUAUUCGUAUCGUAAAGUUCUGUCCUAUGGGAAGAUAAUGACAGUACCAUAGAAGAAAGCUCCGGCUAAAUACGUG